UACAGAGACUGCAAGCGUUAUUCGGAUUCACUGGGCUUAAAGGGCGCGUAGGCGGCCUGGCAAGUGACGGGUGAAAGCCCUCGGCUCAACCGAGGAACUGCCUGUCAUACUGCCGGGCUUGAGUCCGGGAGAGGUGAGUGGAAUUCCCAGUGUAGCGGUGAAAUGCGUAGAUAUUGGGAGGAACACCAGUGGCGAAGGCGGCUCACUGGACCGGAACUGACGCUGAGGCGCGAAAGCGUGGGGAGCAAACAGG
rnacentral:rRNA from 1 species